rnacentral:rRNA from 1 species
AUUGAACGCUGGCGGAAUGCUUUACACAUGCAAGUCGAGCGGCAGCGCGGGGGCAACCCUGGCGGCGAGCGGCGAACGGGUGAGUAAUACAUCGGAACGUGUCCUUGAGUGGGGGAUAGCUCGGCGAAAGCCGGAUUAAUACCGCAUAAGCUCUGAGGAGGAAAGCGGGGGAUUCGCAAGGACCUCGCGCUGUUGGAGCGGCCGAUGUCGGAUUAGCUAGUUGGNGGGGUAAAGGCCCACCAAGGCGACGAUCCGUAGCUGGUCUGAGAGGAUGAUCAGCCACACUGGAACUGAGACACGGUCCAGACUCCUACGGAGGCAGCAGUGGGGAAUUUUGGACAAUGGGGGCAACCCUGAUCCAGCCAUUCCGCGUGAGUGAAGAAGGCCU